rnacentral:rRNA from 1 species
GAUGAACGCUGGCGGCGUGCCUAAUACAUGCAAGUCGAGCGAACAGACGAGGAGCUUGCUCCUCUGACGUUAGCGGCGGACGGGUGAGUAACACGUGGAUAACCUACCUAUAAGACUGGGAUAACUUCGGGAAACCGGAGCUAAUACCGGAUAAUAUAUUGAACCGCAUGGUUCAAUAGUGAAAGACGGUUUUGCUGUCACUUAUAGAUGGAUCCGCGCCGCAUUAGCUAGUUGGUAAGGUAACGGCUUACCAAGGCGACGAUGCGUAGCCGACCUGAGAGGGUGGUCGGCCACUCUGGAACUGAGACACGGUCCAGACUCCUACGGGAGGCAGCAGUAGGGAAUCUUCCGCAAUGGGCGAAAGCCUGACGGAGCAACGCCGCGUGAGUGAUGAAGGUCUUCGGAUCGUAAAACUCUGUUAUUAGGGAAGAACAAAUGUGUAAGUAACUAUGCACGUCUUGACGGUACCUAAUCAGAAAGCCACGGCUAACUACGUG